UUAUAGACAACAAGUUUACAAAGCUACGUGUAGAUACUUUGAAAGAGGUGUCUUGCCAUUACUCCUCCACACCUCAACCAAAUUUCCUCUGAAGUCAGUCUUCUUUGCCGUUACAGCUCUCUGUAAAUUCACUAGAGGCAAAUUUGGUUAAACACAUCAGAAGUCAUGGGGAGAGGAAAACAACCAUCUCUGAUGUUUCAUUAAGUUUAAAGGAUUUAUGGCUACACAAACUGUUGAGAACAGUUCUGGAUCUGGUCCAAGGCGAACUGCAGUAGGAGAUUUAUUAAAACCAUUACAGUAGAGUCGUUUCAUGGGCAGGGGGCUAAGCACAAUUCUUUGAAUCAAAGGUUGAAUGGUCCUCGACAUGUAUAUUCUGAUUUUAGUUAUGUUUUUAUUUUCUUUGCUUCUUAAGAAGUUUGCUCUGUGAUGAGGUACCUACUUCAUUUCUUUCUUUCUUUUUUGGUAUUUUUUCACCUAAGUUCUUUGGUGAUGAUGUGACAUUGAAGUAAACGAAGUAAAGUUGCGCACCCAAAGUGUUUGAUCAUAUGCCUGAGUCAACUGAAUAAUUUCUUGUAUUUUUUUCCCUUUUCUCAUAGGUGUUCUUCAAAAUUCCCAUCUACAAGGUACAACAUUUUCUUCUACUGAACUGUAUUUGUGAUCAAUUUAUGUGUGGUAUUAUCAUUAUGAUUCUCCAAUACUUAUAUAUGUUUUUGCAGAAAUUCCGAUCCCCUAGAGCAUAAUAAGAUGUGAAACCAAAUGGUGUGACACUUAUUCUCUUGAUGAUUUGGUGUACUUUGAUUUGCAUUGAAUGUUAAUAAAAGUAUACUACCAUUUUAGGUUCUUGAAAAUUACUUCAAUAAUUAUCGUAAAAUUAUAGAGAUGCCCAGUGCAUAAGGCACCAACUAGGACUUAGGAAAUAUGAUCCUUCUCGAGUGUAAUAACUACACCACAUGUUGCAAGUCAACUUAAUCAAUUGAACUAAAUGAACUUCUACACCUUGAUGUUACUCUCAUAAAAAAUCUCGACUAAUCUGGUUGUCAACCUUAUGAGAUAUGCGCACUCAGAGUUUCUGAGUCUUCGCCUGGUAAGUUCUUUAUUGCCCUUUUCCCCUUUCAUGUGAGAUUUUGAUCUUAAAGUUAUUUCAUGCUCAUAUCUCUAGGAUGUAGUUAAAGAUUAGCAGAAUAGUUUUCGAGAUUUUCUAUUUCGCUAAUUCAGAAGAAUGACAAUGAGGGUCUGUUGUGUGUACUUAUCUUAUUUAGUCAAACUCUUAAACUGAUACAGAUAAAUCAAUAAAAGGACAAAUUAAAUGAGGUACAUGGUGGUUGGACUUUGUUUACAUAGAGCGAGUUCCACAGUUCCUUCCAUUUUGAGAGCAUGCUGAAAAUCCUUGUAACUAAUCGUAUGAUGUAUAUGGUUUUUUCCUUCUGUUUUAUAAUAAUUAUCCGUUCUUCUAACUGUCUAAAAUUGUAGUCAUCAUAAGUUUCGUUAUCCAACUAACUAAUUGUCUGUUGUAUAAGAUUUUCCUCUCUCUUGAUGAAUAUCUUUAGGACAAGAUGUUUUAUUUAUGGAUAAGAUGCUUUAUUUAUUUGGCUUUUUUAUAUGUAUGUAUCUACAACAAAAAAAGUUUGCACAACCAAGUAAUAUUCUGCAUUGCAUUAGCAUAACUUCAUGUGUAGCUAAUUUAUACUUUUAUUUUCUUUCCCUCCGGUUGAGAUCAAUUUUGCAUGCUAAUCAUAUCCUCAAUGGAAAAUAUAUAAGUUUAUCUUUAGUAUUGUAUAAAAAUAGUCUUGCUUCUUUAAAAAUGUUGGUAGUCUACUUUUUAAGCAGCACUGGUUCAUUUAACUUUUCUGAAUACUCAUACUUGCAGGUUCCCCAUCUCAAGCAAGCAAGGUGAGUUAAUCUUCUUCUGUCACUUUUCUUCUUUUUAAUUUUUUUUUAAAUCAGAUUUUCAGGUGCUGUAGACAUUAUGAAACCCACAAACAUAUAUUACCAGAGAUCAAAAUCAAUAAUUCAUUUACGGGCAUGCUGAAGCCCCCUCUUUCUACGGACGAGUUAGCCCAUGACUGCAUAAUCAAGAAGAGUCAACCAUACAUAGGAGGAGGCAGCUAAUUAAUUGAUGUCACUCUGUUAAUUUCUUUUUUAGUUUGAGGUACUCCCAUUUUAAGCCAAGAUAACUAAAUGGGAGUUGACGUGACAACUUGACAAGAUGACCCAGGAAGAAAUAAGUUAGACAUACAUCAUACAAGGCUUUCGUGAGAUGAAAACUGUUCCAGUUAAUGUACUGGAAAAGGUUAGGACAAGAGCGGAGAAAUCAAGCAUUGACACGUGAAAAUCAGUAUUUGUUUGCUCCAUGUUGGGAUUCAAUUGCACGUUUCAUACAGAGAAGCUUGCUAUAGGUUAGACCAUCAUACUUUUUGCUGGCACACUUCAUCAAUUAAUGUUAUGAAGGUGAUGAAGUUAGUUAUUCUAUGACUUUCAUUAAAUAAAGAGUUGUUGGGACAAAUUCAAAAUAUUUUGGAUACAAUACUGCAUCAGCAUAUGUUAUUUAUUUAGUGAUUUGAAAAAGUCGCUCAAGAUUUAAGCAAGAAAGACAGUUUCCAUUCUUCAUUUAUCACCGAGUCAUCAAAGGAAUUAGUUCACUACAAGAAGUUUCAGGUUUCCAGAAAUUUCUGAUUCAAAAAGUUUAUACCAAACCUCAUUUCUUGCCUUCAGCACAUAUGUGGUAAUUAUUUUAUCAUCUGAAAGUGAACUAUGAUUGUCCAACAAUAAAUUAUGAUUGCCCUCCUAAUCCUGAAGAUUUUUUCAAGUAAAGUUUCGUGUUGUUCCUCUCCAAGUUACUUAACUUUCUUUCAUUUUUGUUACCAUCCUAAUUUACUUGUAUUACUGAAGAUACCAAUAUAUGUCUCUGUUCCUUCCUCUGUCCAAAUUAUUACUCCUGCUUUUAUUUUUAAGUGCAUCUUAACUUGCUCUAGAUGAAUUGACAUUUUCCUAUAUAUUCUACUGCAUAUUUAAUUUAUAGUAUUGGAAGUUGCUCACGUAAUCUGAGUAGAUAAUAGUUUCUUUUGAACCAUUACUUUUUUUUGAAAGAUUUAUCAUUUAGAUUUAUGGAUGCGAUAAUAUAAAAAAUG